CUCCUUCAGGAAAGGCAAAUGGUACAGGUGGUGCCUCAGUAGCAGAGAUGAACACAUGUGGAACAUAUUAAUUCAUCAAUAAACAGAAAGUAGAAACAGGUUUUAAAACAAACUUUUAUUUGUGCUCAGUGAAAUCAAAUUUUUAGUUUGGAAUAGGAAUGUUGCAAAAUUCUUCUUCCCCUUUUUUGAGUUCUGGAUAAAGGAAGACUACAUGAGCAUAAAACUUGACUAAGCAUCUAAUUUGAAUCAACUGUGGGAGAAGAGAGGAUUGAAGAUGCUGUGACACCUGGAAACUGUCUGAAGGAAAACAAUUCUGAUACUCGUGAAGCAUUUGGUGUCUAUUGUAAACAUGAAUACAGCACAAAGCUUGACCCAAUUUGCAUGCAGUAGCAUCUAGUGACCCACUCCUAAAUCAGAGCAGUGCAGCUGCCAGGUGCUACAUGAGCAAUGAGAUGGUAAACCUGCCUAAAGAAAUCUAUACAGAACAGAUGAAAUAUUUAACUUAUCUGCAGUUGCUCCACUGGCUAGAUUUGUACUAUCUGCUAAUGGUCUGUCUUAACCAGAAAUAUGCUGAUUUCCAGCCACACCUCUAAGACAAAGUGUCUUAAGUGUAUAAAAAUCAAGCUUCCAUUUUUAACAUUUUACUUCUGCUGCUUGGGAUCCUUAGACCUCAACUAGGGUUGAGUCUGACUACAUGCUGGGUGAGUCCCAAAAUACAGCUAAAUCCAGAGGCAUUUCUGUAAUCUGGUUCAGCAUAAGAGCUUGAUGGUAAACUGUCCUAGUUUGGUUUGUUCUUUUUCCCCCCACACUUUGUAAGCCAUGCUGGUACACAUGCUCUCACUCACUUAACAAAAGUUAGCAACAAAGUUUUGUGUUAAAGCAUGAAUUACAGUCAUGAGUCAUCUUGCUUCUGCCUUCCUAGUAUAGACAGGGAAAUGUUGUAAGUGCUGUGUGUUACGUAAAAUAAGGAUUGGCUUUUUUUUUUUCUGACCAGGGUAAGGAUUGUACAGCUUGGUUUUGCACAGAAUUAUACUGCCUAGAAAGUGUAUUUCUUAAAAGGGAAAAUUAAUGUAUUUGUAUGGCAGCCAGAUGUAUUAACAGAAUAAGCUUUCCUUCAGGGCUACUUGAAUGAAACGUGAAAUUCUAAAGUAAGAAAAGUAAGACAAGUUCUUUGGAGCACGAUAACUCAAGAGUUGAGAAAAUGAGUUCCUACCAUCUUAGUUACUUUCUAUUUCACAUAAGUUACUGCAAAAUGCUUAGCAAAUUGGGCUUAAAUUGUUCUCCCCACAUUUCAACUGUAGUUAAAUUAUAACAUUCUUUAUAAUACUUUGAACUACUGUUGGUGUCCCAGUUCAGUAUGCAGAGAAGACAAUCAGGUUGUAAUCACUAUUAUACUCCAAAGGUUGGUUUUAAUUAACAAGAGCAAAGUGAUUUUAAUGAAAAGGGGAAAGUUUGUUUAAACAAAAGCUAUUAAUCUAAAAAGGGUUCAGAUAUUAUAAUCCCAAUAGAGUUCUUAAAAAUUUUUAAGGAAAUAAUGAAGGCAAGAAGAACAAGAGGUUGAGAGUUUAAAGAAAUCUUCUAUUCAAAGUCAGC
ensembl:lncRNA